GAAACAGGUAUCCAUAUCUUCAGUCCUGCCUCUGGCCUUGUUUCCUCGAGGGAUCUUGGACCAGGAUUUUAGGUUAGACCCUGGAAAUAGUUAAUUACCCUGCUCUUUCUGGGACUGUCAAUGAACCCUGUUAACACCACCAUGUUGCUUGCCAUGUCCAAACCCUGUUGGAGUGUGCCCUGGUUGUCAUCUUUGGCUCCUGGCUUGUCACCCCUCGUGGAGCUGUUCUGCUCUUACUGCUCUCCGACAUGGAUGAGAUUCCCCUGAGCCUUGACUUCUCCUGGCUGGACAGUUCCAGCUUCCUGAGCCUUUCCUCACAGGAGAGGUGCUCCAGACCCCCCAUCAUCUUUGUGGCUUCAUCAUCUUUGCUGGACUCUCUCACGUAGCUCCAUGUCUCACUUGUACUUGGGAGCUCAGAACUGGACCCUCUACUCCAAGUGUGGCCUCACAAAUACCAGAGGUGGAAGGAUUGCCUCUCCUGAUCUGCUAACAACACUCCUCCUAAUGCAGCCCAAGAUACUGUUUGCCUUCUUUGCAGCAAGGCCACACUGCUAACUCAUAUUCAACUUGGUGUCCACCAUGACACCCAGUCCUUUUCCACAAAGCAACACCUGAAAGGAAAAAAGGCCAUCUGUAUUUGAACUGUGUUUUGUUGUUCACUUUUGUAGCUUCGAUUUGAGGCUAUCAAGUGUAAUUUGUGGUGCCUUGUUCUGAUUAUUAAAGAAAAUAAUGUUGUUACCUUUUAGUCAUUAUGUGUGCUACCCCAAGGAGAAAAAAAAAAAAAAAGAAAAACAAACAAAAACACAGUUGAAAGGCCAGUAUUAUAUCCAUUUCACAAAAGAUAAGAUUUAGUUAGUAGAUAAUCUGAGGUGCUUUUUCUUCAUUAUGUCUAUCUCAUUUUCAUUGGUCAUGCUGCGAUUAGAGCAUGUUCUUUUGCAAUGAGCACAGACCCCCCCAGUCAUGGCCUCUGUUUCAACGAUGACCUUAAAAGCAAAAAAGCCUCUUUAUGGCCAUUGGUGUGCAUAACCACAGUCCCGCUGAAACAAAUGUUUUUCUUUAGUAAUUGACAUGUCAGGAGGUUAAUAGCAGUUUAUGUCAUGGUAACAUAUAAAGAUAUUUGAAUUUUCAAAAAUUAAUAUCAUAAUUGAUUUCAGAAGUGAUUCAGGUGAUCUCCUAAACAUAAAACAUAACCUCUCCUAAAAUUAAAAAAUGUAAAAUAUAUUCUGAUUUUUCUAUGUUGCAGUUUGUGGUUAAUUAACACUUGCAUUCCUAUUGAGUUAGGAUGAUAAAAGACUGUUAAACAGGAUGAUGAAAACAAUGUAAAACAAAAAGUGUAACUAAGUCAAAAUGCCUUCCUUCAGAGUACCUACCUUAUAUUUGUAAGUGCUUCAAGAAGAGCAAGAUCUUGCUAGGGUAAGAACACUGUGAAUGACUGUUGAGAAAUCCUCAUGUCAUUUGCUAGCCUAAAGAAGCCCUUAAGAAGAACAAAACCUAAAUGCUGAGUCAUACACUUUGAUAUCAUCAGUUCUGACCUGAUUUCUGUUAGUAAUGCUUUGGCUAUUGAAGAAAAAGUUGCAGUUCUUGUCUCCAAUUACUCCAGUGGCUCUGGGAAAUAAAGUACCAUAGCUCAGGGGAUCACCUCAGUUCAAAGGUAAAGUUCAAUCUCAGAAUUAAGGUGUGGGGAAUGAAAAAUUUCCAUCUUUCAACAUUGGAACAAAAAGCUUAAAGUAAUAAGCUGUAAGUAAUGCUUACAGAGCACUGAAUAAACCUUUGAAUUCGGUUUAUUUUUAGUGCAAAUGCUAAAGGACUACAUAGUAGCUAGAUAGGAAUAGGGAAAUUCAUAGAAACUGUUGUUUUUAUUGUUUGGGUUUUUUUUUGAACAAACAAAAAAAAGCUAUCACGGCCAUCUGAUGAACUGGUGACAGGGAAAUUGCAUAUAAGAUGAAUUUGGGAGAGAAACUGCAGAGAAAAUAAAAAAUAAGUGGUCUUAAAGGGGUAGAUGAAGCACUAAUUUGAAGCUACAGUGACCUCUGUGCACAUUCAUCUAUAGUAUAUGCAGGAGUUCAGAAGAGCUUGACAAAGAGAAAGGUGAUAUGCAUGUGUUAGGGUUCUAUUAUAUCAGUAUUGAGAGACCAGCUACACAGAAAGAAAACGCAUAUUUUUAAGUGAAGUAGUCCUUUCUAAUGAUGUAGUCCUGUAUCGUGUUGAAUAUGAAAGGGUCUAUUUUAAUUGAGUGUGCUGAGGUUGUUUGUGUCAAAGGUAAUUGCUUUAUUUACACCAGUGAAAGAUUUAUAGAACCAGUUGCCUGGACUAUGUUUUAACACUAAGCAGGAGGUAUGAAGACUUUACUAUUUACAGACCCAGGAUUUAUAAUCUAUUAAGGUCAAUACAAGUUGCAGUGACCUUAGCUGUUCUCAAGAUUGGGUCUUUACCAUUAGCAUCAGUCAGCCUAUUUGCGUCAAGUCUGCCUCAGUGCAGGUGCUUAUGCUGGAUAUUUAAACAUUCUUCCAGCACUACAUUUCUAUGAAAACUUACCAUUACUGAAGGAACAAAUUGAAUGAAGAAUAAAAGACACGGGUUGUGUCACUCCCUUUCAUAGAAUGUCCUUUCCUAAGAUCUGCAGAAAUAGAAUGAAAAAAGAGGGAGUGGGAAGAAAACAAUUAUCCAAGGGGACAUAGUAAAAAUGCUAAAUUAUGGUUACUCCUGGUGUGAGCACAGUAAAUGAGUUGUGGCUGGCUUGUUGCCAAUAUUCUAUCUGCUCUGAAAUUAUAUCAGAGCAAAUGCAAAGUUAUUCUAAUAUGAUCAUGCAGUCAGAAUCUCGCCCUUUUUAUUUUUUUCAUAAUUAUGCAGAUUUUUCACUGUACAAUAAAGCAU